UUCUGUGCUUCCCAUCUUCAUUUCUACGCUUCUGAAAAACCCUAAACGCUUCCAGGUUCCAUCUUCACUAAACGCUCAAAAACCCUAAACGCUUUUUCAUAAAUCUUUUCCAGGUUCCAUCUGCACUAAACGCUCAGAAAUCGUUUCUCGGUUCCACGCUUUUCAGAUUCUCAAAAUCGCAUCUCAAAAUUGCUUCAGGUGUUUGAGUAUGAAUGGUACUGAUUUGUGAAUAAGUAUUGCAGUUGAAUAUGACCGGAGCUGUAACGGCAUGACCGAAGUUCACCAAUCUUCUUUUCGGUUCUUCUUUUUUUUCCAAUAAACUCUCCAGACCCUUGUUACCUUUCUCCUUUCUUCUUUCUCAGGUAAGCUUUGCGUUUCUUCUCUCCCUUAAUUCUUUUUUCAAUUGGUUGACGUUUCAGUUUUGAUUUGUUGUUUCAAUAAGUUGUUUUGAUUCGAUUCUUCUCAAGGUUUGAUUCAAUUCGUUGUUUUAAUUUGUUGUUUCUAUUCGAUUCUUCUCAAGUUUUCAAAUACAGUAUGAGCCACUUCGUGCUGUUUGGAUCACCUCUGAUCCAUCCACUAGACUCGAAUUGAUCAGACUCUUAUGCGGACUGGCUUCAUCUUCUCAAGCCCUAAACCCAGAGAAAAGUUCAAAUCCUAAUUUCAUCACCUUUUUUGUUUUCAUAAUUCUCAUACAUAAUGAAUUUUCAUAUUUUAUUUUAUAAUUAAAUUGAUUUUGCUAGAUUAUGAUACUGCUAUAAUUGUUAUUGAAAUCCUGCUAUUAACUUCUCUUAUGUUGAUUCUUUGGUACGAAGAGUGAAUAAUUGAAAGCGAGGUUAAAAAAGUUGGAAGAUUUAGUUGAGAGGAAAGCAUAUAAGGAUCUUGUUAAGGAUAUUGCAUCAGGAACAUUUCUAUUCUUACAAGGAUCAACUAGAAUUUGUUCACGGUUGAAUCUUCAUCAUCCUCAUUAUUCAACAAAGAGUAUAUGUGAACAAAAUACGUUAUUGAAUCAUUCAUGUGGAAAUGCGAGGAUGGCGAUAAUUUCUGACCGACAUGACUAUUUAGUUUAGACACUAGGACAAAACUGAAACUCUUUAAUCAAAGAUCAAUUGAAGGGUGGUAGAACAUGUGGAUUUGAUACUGUCACACAAAGUUUUGUUUGUUUAUUUAAGGAUGGAAACUCCACUACUCAUUGUAAAGAGGAGGAGAUUUGAGCAAUAAGCAAUGUCGGUAGUGUGAAUUGGAGUGCGACGGGGUCGGCCACCAAAGCAACAAUGACAACUGCAGCAGGAACAAUAACAGAGUCUGGUUGAAGUGGAAGUGAUUGUGAAUAGAACGAUAUGGCGGCGUACAGCUGCAGCGGUUGUGAAUGAUAAGGUUGAAGAGAUGGUGGUUAUGGUUACAUCGCUAAAUGAGAACGUAGUUGUUGCUGCGGUGGAGAAGGAAGGGGAGGAUGAUCGGAGUUUGGAAGAAAAGGGUGAAGAGGACAGUAACGCCUUGGUUAUUUAUGAACAGGUUAACUCAAGUUAGUAGGGAAUGAGCAUUACAAGAGGGGUGAAUUUACUGAUGCAUUGAGUUUUUAUGACCGUGCAAUUUCUAUUUUGCCGAGGAGUGCUUCUUACCGGAAUAAUCGCCGCCACGCUUAUCGGUUUGGAAAGACUGGCUGAAGCUGCGAGGGAAUGUCAGGAGGCUUGUAAAUAUGAUCCUAAUUAUGGUUAUUAGCUCAAUAAAUGGCUUUGGAGAUGGGUUAGCUCAAUGAAAUGGUUUUGAGGAUGGGUUAUAACUAAAUUCUCUGCACAACCCAGGAAGUCGUCAAGGCAGUGGCAACGAGAAAGCCAUUCUUGCAUCGAGAGCUUCUCGUUCUACGACUUUAGAAGGAAGAGUUGAUGUGACAUUAAUCACCACAAUCUCAGGUGGAUUGCAUUUACCAAAUUUCUUACAUUUUUAUAAAAUGCCAAUACCUUGUUAAAGAGACCCUUCCUCUUGUCUUUGUAACAAAACAUAUCAAUUUCAUUACUUAUAUAACACUUUCUCCCAUGUCAUAUGCAAUGUUGACUGGAAAUAGUUCGCCGUGAAAUCAAUAUAUACUAACUUUGAAUGCA